UUGAUUUGUUAUGAGUGAUAUGAAUGUCAUGAUUUUUCUCACUUCGGCAUUUUAUAGCUUCCAUAGCUGAUAGCUUACUUUAGCAAUAAGUCGUUAUUACUGUCAGUUCAGAUUCUGGGGCGACCGCCUUUACCAAGAAGCUAGAACCUAAAAGAGUUUACCACAGAUAUGUACUUAACAAGGAUUAGAAGAUUUAGUUUGCCAGCUUCGAAUUCGUUCUACAAAAAUAAGCUACAUAAUAAAAAUACAAGUUCAGUUAAUUUUUUGAGUAUUCGAAAUAUU